ensembl:antisense Gm12709 predicted gene 12709
AGUGUUGCUCAUCUCCUUUCUUGGUAACAGAGCCCUAAAUGGUGGGAACAUUUCUGACUAAAAGAACGGCAAAUUCUUGGUCCCUUUUUGUGCAGCUGAAGUUCUGUGGCUUACAAACCAGUGUGAUGCAGCCAGCACUGACUGGGUAGGAAUUUGAGAACGAUUUCUCAGAACAAAACAACACAAGAAAACCCCAAACCGACAAACGACCAGUGAUGACAGCAUCUGUGCAAAUGCUGUUCAAUGUCUACCUGAGGGUGAGGUUCCAGCAAGUAAACCAUCAGCAUGAAUGCCUGCCUGGACUCAUGCGUGAAAAACACAAGAUCUCAGUGAACAAGGGAGCCAUGUGCAAAUUACACACGGAUUUGCCACUUUCUGUGCAAUGAAAAUAUGCAGGAAAAAAAAUCACAAUUCAAUAACAACUUACAUUAAACUGCAUUUUCAAAUGGGAACCCUAUUUGCAGUAAUGUGUCAUGAAGAAUAAUUGCAUAUUCAAGAUUUUGUGAGAUGGGUGACUGGAAGGACUAUGAAGGCAAGGACAUUUAUAAAAAUCACCAGUUACAAAAAAUGAUAUCCACACUUUUACUAACUCAUAAGUGGCAGGACUUAUCCCACUGACUUCAAUCAAUAUACAGAUCAACCAGGUGGGAAUGGUGGCUCAGCCCACCACGAGAAACAGACCCAGCACAAGCAGCCAGAACCUUUGUGCUGGAAUUGCCAGUUCAUCUGUACUUAAUUCAAUGAUCAGUUUGCUCUCUAAUGGGCUGUGGGGAUAGGAGCUGUGAGGAGGCAGAGAAAUCACAGCCAGUUCCUGUUUGAGGAGGGAGAGCUACCCACUUACCUGCAGCAAACCUCUUCUUAAUGAGUGAAAACCGGUAGCCUGCUCCAACAAGCUCAAUGUCACAGCCAGAGAGAGUACUUCCUUCACUCGUGAACUGCACAACCAGCGGGGAAGGUUUGCUCGGGCCUUCGGAUAACUGAAAUCUCGCCAGUAAAGAACCUACGCCUUUAAAAGAAGAGCGUUACCGCAAGACAGCAGUUGGCAGUACUCUGCAUGCAACUUUGAAGUCACACUUGAGGUGAACUGUGCAUGACUGGGCAGCCGAGGAAGCAGCGUAUUCUUUGUUUGCAAAAUGAGAGUGAGCAAAGCAUCUUUGAGGAGCCUGAGCAGCUGGUCGGGGCACGUCAGCAGAGCGGUACUUUGAAAUUUGUGACGUGCUACAAGGAUGGCUACAUCCUUUCCAGCCUGUGAUUUACAUCAGAGGGAGAAAGAAAAGCAUCUACGGGGGCAUUACACAGGGCAGACACAUGCCAUGGUCUAUGUGGGAGUUGAGGGCUUGGUGGGAAAGGAGAGAGGAAGGUCCACUAAAAGCCACUUGCUUUGAUAGAUGUUAGUAAGUAAAGAAAGACUAACAAAGCUUCUAGGGGUACGUGGCUUUGGGUUCAUAGUUGGCCAAUACCUGUAAGUUAUGUCAGAUUUAAGCCCGUGACUACAAUUACCUCCAUUUUCUGACUUCUGGGAGAUAUCGGGAAUCUUCCAUAAUAUUCUUUGUUGUUCAGCAUUCCUAAAAAAAUAAAAGAAAGGGCUUUCUCACACACAAAGGAUUUGCUCAACAGAUGCCACAUUUCCAUAUAGUGCUAAACUAGAACGUACUCCAAACGUUUAGCUCUGCCUAACUGUAUCUGUUCCCCUACGUGCGUAAUGUGCUUCCGUUUCCCUAUUCUAAGGAGCCACAGCAAUGUGAGACAAACAGAGGGUAACACAGUCCUUACAAUACAUCUACCCAGAAAGCAGAUGCGAAGCGGUUGGUAAUUGUGGUGUUUAGGUAACUUUCACUGCAAAUGCUGGUUAGCGCUAGCUCACAUUUGUUUUAUUUUUUAAAUAUUAAUUUAUUAAAGGAUAUGAAUGC